GUCCCGGGUGAAAGCGAGAAGACUGACACAACAGUAGACUGAGUGUUUUUCAGUUCUGAUUAGACUCUAGUGUUGAGAUGUCUGUCUGUCAUGAUAGCAUGUACUGAGUCGGGGCCAGAACCAGAUAAGAACAUUAAACUAUAAUCCAUAAACGUAAGGUAACAACCGAGACCGAUUGAGUUUGAGACAAUGAAAAAAUGCAUAUGUUAUGUUGUAUCUGAACAGGUUAGCUUACGAGCUAAAGUUACUUAGCACAGAUGAAAGUUUAAACAAAGACGUUUAUCAAACUGUUAAAGCACACAAACCAUCGUCAUAUGAGAAAUCCGACGCUAUGACUCUCCACAAGUUGUCCUUCAGGUCAUUAUCUCUGACAUGUAAACAAUCAGCCGGUCGGCCAUGUUGG
rnacentral:lncRNA from 1 species